AUUGAACGCUGGCGGCAUGCCUAACACAUGCAAGUCGAACGAGUGGCGGACGGGUGAGUAAUGUAUGGGAAACUGCCCGAUGGAGGGGGAUAACUACUGGAAACGGUAGCUAAUACCGCAUACCAUCGGAUGUGCCCAGAUGGGUUUAGCUAGUAGGUGGGGUAACGGCUCACCUAGGCGACGAUCCCUAGCUGGUCUGAGAGGAUGACCAGCCACACUGGAAAUGAGAAACGGUCCAGGACCCUACGGGAGGCAGGAGGGGGGAAGAUUGCACAAUGGGCGGAAGGCUGAUGCAGCCAUGCCGGGUGUAUGAAGAAGGCCUUCGGGUUGUAAAGUACUUUCAGCGAGGAGGCGUUAAUCGCAGAAGAAGCACCGGGUAACUCCGGGCCAGCAGCCGGGGUAAUUC
rnacentral:rRNA from 1 species